rnacentral:tRNA from 1 species
GCUUCUAUGGCCAAGUUGGUAAGGCGCCACACUGGUAAUGUGGAGAUCAUCGGUUCAAAUCCGAUUGGAAGCACCA